AAAACAAUUCGAAAACAUCUCGAAAAACCGAUGAAGGAAAUUAAAUUCAGCAACAUGGAUCCGAUUAGUGUAAUCCCACACGAAUACUUAUUCGUCGUUGGAAGACACACGAACGGGAAAACAUUGGAUACUUUCCAUCGCUUCAGAGCUGAGGGGUUCUACUAUAAAUAUUUGGAUAACCAACAACUGAUCAAUUUUGAAUUUCGACAAAAUUUGUCGCAACGUUUGAUGCCCAUGCCGAUGCGCGAAGUGCUAUAUCCGAAAUGCAUAAGUGCUGCAAUAAAUCGCCAAAUCAGCCAAUUGCCAACCUACUAGAUGUCAUGAUAUCUAAGUAUUAUCCUGGCUCUCGAUUAACAAUUUUAGUGAUACAUCCGGCCAACUUUUGUAUUAGUCCAUUCCACUUUGCUAAUUUCAUUCUUGAUGCUGAAAAAUUUGGAAUUCCAAGGAAUUCCAUUGUUUUUUUUUGUUAUGGUUUACAGUUGAAAAAGACAGGGUUUGGUUUUGCAACAGUGCCAUGUAAUACAUUUGUUA